rnacentral:sRNA from 1 species
AUGGUGGAUACGGCAAAGGUGCUGUCAGCGUCUUGCCCGUUGUUGGUGUCAGUGGUGGCUAUGGAGGCUACGGAUAUGGCGGUGGCAAAGGUUACUACUAGACAAAGCAACUUCAGUCUUACAUUUCUACAGUCAUGUACUUGCCAAUAGUGUUGCAAUAAAAUGAAAAAAAAAAAAAACAAUGA